GCUUCAGGCAGCUAUCUGCAAGCCUUCGGAGCCCAGUGGGAGUUCCCACUGGGCUCCAAAGGGUUGCGGAUAGCAGCCUGCAGC